GGUCAAGCGAAUAAGCGCACACGGUGGAUGCCUUGGCGGUCAGAGGCGAUGAAGGACGUGGCAGCCUGCGAAAAGUAUCGGGGAGCUGGCAACAAGCUUUGAUCCGGUAAUGUCCGAAUGGGGAAACCCACCCGCUUGCGGGUAUCCUGCAGUGAAUACAUAGCUGCUGGAAGCGAACCUGGUGAACUGAAAUAUCUAAGUAACCAGAGGAAAAGAAAUCAACCGAGAUUCCGUAAGUAGCGACGAGCGAACGCGGACUAGCCCUUAAGCUGGAUUGGUUCUAGGAAAACGCUCUGGAAAGAGCGGCCAUAGAAGGUGAUAGCCCUGUAUCUGAAAGGGCCAUUCCAGUGAAGACGAGUAGGGCGGGGCACGUGAAACCCUGUCUGAACAUGGGGGGACCAUCCUCCAAGGCUAAAUACUACUGACCGACCGAUAGUGAACCAGUACCGUGAGGGAAAGGCGAAAAGAACCCCGGAGAGGGGAGUGAAAUAGAACCUGAAACCGUGUGCGUACAAGCAGUAGGAGCUCCGCAAGGAGUGACUGCGUACCUUUUGUAUAAUGGGUCAGCGACUUACUGUUCGUGGCAAGCUUAACCGUAUAGGGGAGGCGAAGGGAAACCGAGUCUGAUAAGGGCGCAUAGUCGCGGGCAGUAGACCCGAAACCGGGUGAUCUAGUCAUGCCCAGGGUGAAGGUGCGGUAACACGCACUGGAGGCCCGAACCCACUCCCGUUGCAAAGGUAGGGGAUGAGGUGUGAUUAGGAGUGAAAAGCUAAUCGAACCCGGAGAUAGCUGGUUCUCCUCGAAAGCUAUUUAGGUAGCGCCUCAUAUGUAUCCUCUCGGGGGUAGAGCACUGUUAUGGCUAGGGGGUCAUCGCGACUUACCAAACCAUUGCAAACUCCGAAUACCGAGACGGACUGUAUGGGAGACACACGGCGGGUGCUAACGUCCGUCGUGAAAAGGGAAACAACCCAGACCCACAGCUAAGGUCCCAAAUUCACUGCUAAGUGGAAAACCAUGUGGAAAGGCACAGACAGCCAGGAGGUUGGCUUAGAAGCAGCCACCCUUUAAAGAAAGCGUAAUAGCUCACUGGUCGAGUCGGUCUGCGGGGAAGAUUUAACGGGGCUAAGCAGUGAACCGAAGCUUGGGGUGCAUACUUUGUAUGCGCGGUAGAGGAGCGUUCCGUAAGCCGUUGAAGGUGGAUUGAGAAGUCUGCUGGAGGUAUCGGAAGUGCGAAUGCUGACAUGAGUAACGAUAAUGCGGGUGAAAAACCCGCACGCCGAAAGCCCAAGGUUUCCUUGCGCAACGUUAAUCGGCGCAGGGUGAGUCGGCCCCUAAGGCGAGGACGAAAGUCGUAGUCGAUGGGAAGCAGGUUAAUAUUCCUGCACCUCGCGUAAGUGCGAUGGAGGGACGGAGAAGGUUAGGUGUACCAGGCGUUGGUUGUCCUGGGGAAAGGCGGUAGGUUUGGAUCUUUGGCAAAUCCGGGAUCCUUUAAGACCGAGCACCGAGACGAGCCUUUAUGGCGAAGUCACUGAUACCACGCUUCCAGGAAAAGCUCCUAAGCUUCAGCUUACGCAGACCGUACCGUAAACCGACACAGGUGGGUAGGAUGAGAAUUCUCAGGCGCUUGAGAGAACUCGGGUGAAGGAACUAGGCAACAUGGCACCGUAACUUCGGGAGAAGGUGCACCCUUUUUGGUGGCUCGUGCGAGCUAUAGCUGAAGAGGGUCGCAGUAACCAGGCCGCUGCGACUGUUUAUCAAAAACACAGCACUCUGCAAACACGAAAGUGGACGUAUAGGGUGUGACGCCUGCCCGGUGCUGGAAGGUUAAUUGAUGGGGUCAGCCGCAAGGCGAAGCUCUUGAUCGAAGCCCCAGUAAACGGCGGCCGUAACUAUAACGGUCCUAAGGUAGCGAAAUUCCUUGUCGGGUAAGUUCCGACCUGCACGAAUGGCGUAACGACAGCGGCGCUGUCUCCACCCGAGACUCAGUGAAAUUGAAAUCGCUGUGAAGAUGCAGCGUUCCCGUGGCAAGACGGAAAGACCCCGUGAACCUUUACUAUAGCUUUACACUGAACGUUGAGUUCGUCUGUGUAGGAUAGGUGGGAGGCUAUGAAACUGUGGCGCUAGCUGCAGCGGAGCCAUCCUUGAAAUACCACCCUGUCGUGCUUGACGUUCUAACCUGGGCCCAUUAUCUGGGUCGGGGACCGUGUAUGGUGGGUAGUUUGACUGGGGCGGUCUCCUCCUAAAGAGUAACGGAGGAGCUCGAAGGUACGCUCAGCGCGGUCGGACAUCGCGCACUGUGUGCAAAGGCAUAAGCGUGCUUGACUGCAAGAUCGACGGAUCAAGCAGGUAGGAAACUAGGACUUAGUGAUCCGGUGGUUCUGUAUGGAAGGGCCAUCGCUCAACGGAUAAAAGGUACUCCGGGGAUAACAGGCUGAUACCGCCCAAGAGUUCAUAUCGACGGCGGUGUUUGGCACCUCGAUGUCGGCUCAUCACAUCCUGGGGCUGUAGUCGGUCCCAAGGGUAUGGCUGUUCGCCAUUUAAAGUGGUACGCGAGCUGGGUUCAGAACGUCGUGAGACAGUUCGGUCCCUAUCUGCCAUGGGCGUUGGAGAUUUGAGAGGGGCUGCUCCUAGUACGAGAGGACCGGAGUGGACGAACCUCUGGUGUUCCGGUUGUCACGCCAGUGGCAUUGCCGGGUAGCUAUGUUCGGAAGCGAUAACCGCUGAAAGCAUCUAAGCGGGAAGCGCGCCUCAAGAUGAGAUCUCCCGGGGCACAAGCCCCCUGAAGGAACCAUGUAGACUACGUGGUUGAUAGGUCAGGUGUGUAAGUACAGCAAUGUAUUGAGCUAACUGAUACUAAUGAUCCGUGCGGCUUGACCAU
rnacentral:rRNA from 1 species